UGUCAGUCCGGCUUUUUUUACCUAUACAAAAGUGCGCACAUGCCCAUUGUUCUCAAAAUGAAAUCAAAACAACUACGUCACGCAGAAAGUAGUCUAUGCCAUUGCAAUAAACUUCCUUAAAAGGAUUGCUUUUGACAUCUCUGCUCCUAACGAUAACGUAGACCCAGAUAUAUUUUCUGAACCAAAUUUUGAUUUUUACCUUGGUUCAGUAAAUAGAAAAAGAGUUCAAAACGUGUCGAGCUUUUGUGCAGUGCGUAACGUGUAGCGUAACGUGAGGUGCAACGUGUGUGUAUUUUUCAGCUCUAGGCCACUGAGUAUAAGCUCUGAAAAACAACGGUGACAUGGAGACAUUUCCUUCUGAACUUAAAAAACAUUAAAACGUGUAAGCGCAUAAGGAUGCGCUUACACGUUUUAAUGUUUUUUACGUUUUAUAUAGCUACUGACAGAUUUAUUCACAUAAUUAGACAAACGUGUUGAUGUGGCUCUCUUAUACCUUGUUGAUUUGUCAUAAUUAUGUCUUUCAUAUCUUGUUUCUAUCAAAAUAGAUGAAUUUAUUUUUGUUUCUUUGACGCGCCUUUAUGACGUGUCCUAGCCUUUUAAGGGUGUAUCGUCUUAUGACUCAUCACAACUAAACUGACUCUACUAUAAGUGAUAAAGAAAUAAAGAUAAUAAUAAAUAAAGUUAUUUUCGUUUGAGGUACGUAUUAGAAAAUAACUACAAAACAUGUAUACGUUUAAAUUUGCGGCCAAAUUUUUUUUGAUGUCAUGUGAAAUUUACACGAACUUAAAUAUGUAAAUUCAAGAUGGUUGUCGGCCAUGUGGCAUAUGGUUUUGAAGCUGUGAUAGUCACACACUUGUUGUGGUUAAAUACAGUUCACCUUGAGUUUCAUAUGUCUUUUUAUUCUGUCCCUCGGGAAUUUCAGCGUUACUAUAAAUUUGCGCUGUCGUUUGAACUUUACUAUGAACGUAUUACCUGUACAACCUCAUACCGCGAUUUGAAGAUUAUAAGGUAACAUGUGCUUAGUAAGUAUUUUAUUAGAUUUGAAAAACUUGUAACAUAUUAAUUAUUCUACGUUAUGAUUCUUGUACAAUUAGAUUUUAACUGUAAGUUAUUGUUUAUAGCAAAUUUAUUAUCAAGAUGAAUCUGUAAACCAUCAAUCCUGUCUUUAUCCUAAGGUCAUACAUUACGUUACACACGUUACGUUACACACGUUACGUUACACACAUUACGUUACACACGUUAACGUUACACACGUUACGCUGUUACGCUCUGACAAAGAUACGUUAGUUCAUACUUGAAUUCUGAAACAAAACAAUUGCUCGUGUUGUCAUGCCAUAGUACAAACUAUUGUUCACCAACAUGGUGCAAUGCUAAUGACUCAUCUUUAAAUAAAGUGAAGAAAUUACAUUUUAACAUCUUGGGUAGAAAUACUCCAGAUCUGAACUCUCUAUUUAAUUUCAACUCAACUAUCCCCAAUAUUGCACCAGCAUAUUUGACUAAUAAACUAACAUUAAUUAAAUGCAAUCACUGUCUUCAAAUAAUUAUUUAUAUAAUUGCAAUUGGGAAUCCCCAAUAAAAAAUUUUAACCCUAUUUUCCUUUUUUUUAACUCAAUUGAAUAAUUCAGAAAGUGGCCCCCAGUGGAAAUAUUAUUCUGGGCAUUGCCACUAUAAAUACAUUAUUACAUUGUUGUUGUUGUUGUUGUUAGUUUGUCAGUUCCUGCGCAUAGUUAAUCAAAAUUUGAAAUACGGCGCGCUUAUUGGCUUUUAAUAAACAAUUAACAUCGCGCUAUGAUUGGUUAUUAGAUUUUAAUUUAUUUUCUCAAAGACGUCAACAAAUAUGGCGCAUUCUUGGAAGUAAAUUUUUAAUAUAUUUUUUUGUUUAUAGUAUAAAGUGUUUUUGUAAUCAAGCUUAAAGCUAAAAUCUUGUAAAAUUUGAAUAUUAUGCUUACCAAAUAGAUUCAGAAAGACGUAUUCUAGUCGAAUUUUAUUUUUGUAUUUAACCCUAUUUGAUAUGGGCUUUUUUGACCCUUGUAUGUAUGGGGGCGGAGGCAUAAAGUGCCCGUGGGCUGUAACUUUUGUUCAGUUUGGUUUUAAGUGAUGAAACUUGGCACAAAGAAGCAUCAAUAUAUUGUGACUUAAUUAGGGAGAAAAUAUUUGGGUUGACAUGUCAUCACAGGAAGUGAUGACGUCAUAUUGAGACAAUGGUCGAAAAAAAUAUGUCUUUUUGAAAAUUCUCGUUUUUUAUCUUUUUUAAAACUAUUUACAGUACUAGUCAUUAAAAAAACUGAUAUGUAAGAUAUUAUUAGGAACAUUUACAGGUGUGUUGAAGACAAAGGAUUUCUUUAGGGAGAAAAUGGAAAUCGGUCAGAAUUCAUUUUUUUUUUUUUUGAAAUAUCGAUAUUUGAGAACCUUGGUGUUAGUAGCUGUCAUAGAAUAAAACUUGGUUUAUUUUUUAUAAAUAUAUUUA